rnacentral:lncRNA from 1 species
UGUAAUUUCCUUGGAGAUAAGUGACUAACUAUGGCAAAGGAUAAGUUCACAUUUCCAUGAUCUUUUUGCCUCCCUAAAAAAAGGUUCAGGAGGGGGAAGAUAAUGCAUAUAUUAUCUAAAAACUAAAUUAACUAUGGCUAUCUGCUUUUCACUGCCCUAACACUAACCUGUGGAGGAAAGAAUUGAAUUUCUAAAAUGCCUUAGGCGACUUGGUAUACUGGAAACAGACUAUUUGUGGAAAUAUUGAUGACUUGUUCUAUGAAUUAGAAGAGCUGACAACCUCCUGGCACAAGGGGACCCACAGAAUGACUUCAUGAUAACAUUCACUCAGCAACUUGGAAGAUGUCUGCUUUACCUCUUACUUAUCUUGUGAACCUCUGUCAGUAGCCAUACUGUUUACCUGUGGGUCUGGAGAGAAGGUAAACUUAGAAUUCUGGUGGCAACCUGGACUCUAGAUAAGUAUAAUGCUGUUAAGAAUUGAGAAGUCAGAGGCAUAGAGAAUGGGCUCAUGUUGAGAGCCCCAGUGAAAAAUGUAGAUCUUUGCAUGCACAUGGAGUCUCUCUCUGUAAGGGAGAAGGCCCUGACUUGGGGGCUGGGAGUCAGGUGGCAGAGAAGGUCCUCAGGGAGUGUAAAACCCAGUUCCCUCCUUACCCUUCCUCUUAGUGAAAACACAGGAAGAAAAGGAAUACUUUCUAUUCCUUUCUAUCCCCUAUGUUUAUAGUCUGGCUGAUUGUUUUGUAGAUGUGGAUGCUGAAGACUUCAGGAGAAUUCUGCAGAGAUAAAGGGUGGGUAUGGGGAUAGAUAAAACCUAGGUAUUUUUAUUUAUCUUUAUUUCCUCUUCCUUCCAAAAAUGUUUUAAUAGGAUCAGGCUCAUUUGUUUGUUUGCCCACUUACUUUUUUUGAACAGUCUCCUUUUGGUCUUCUGGCCCAUGGACAUGGUUUAACUAAAGCAUCCCAUGAUCUGGCUGGGUAUUAUUGACCAGGUGCAAACUCCACAUCUGUGCUUGAAGUUUGCUCUUGAAAGUCAGGACCACAAACAGAAAGGAACCCAAUGAGGGCCCAUUGAACUUACUGGACUAAGUGCACCCUUUUCUAGGUGGUGGGUCUUAGGGAGUGGGAAGUGGUAGGAGCCCUAAUGGAGAAGAGAUAAAGUAGCUCAGGACAAAUCUGGGAAGAAUAAAUAAGAGUAGGAGAAAAGAUGUGAAGAUAUAAAAUAAGUUACUCUUGGCAUGAUAGGAGUGAGAGAUCAUUGAGAAAGCUGCCUAAUCG